rnacentral:rRNA from 1 species
GCUUACGGCCAUAUCAGCCUGGGUACGCCCGAUCUCGUCUGAUCUCGGAAGCUAAGCAGGGUCGGGCCUGGUUAGUACUUGGAUGGGAGACCGCCUGUGAAUACCAGGUGCUGUAAGCA